rnacentral:rRNA from 1 species
UACCAGCACCCCGAGUGGUCGGGACGAUUAUUGGGCCUAAAGCAUCCGUAGCCGGUCAUGCAAGUCUUCCGUUAAAUCCAGCCGCUCAACGGUUGGGCUGCGGAGGAUACUACGUGGCUAGGAGGCGGGAGAGGCAAGCGGGUACUCAGUGGGUAGGGGUAAAAUCCUUUGAUCCAUUGAAGACCACCAGUGGCGAAGGCGGCUUGCCAGAACGCGCUCGACGGUGAGGGAUGAAAGCUGGGGGAGCAAACCGG